rnacentral:sRNA from 1 species
AUUGUCACGCAUAAUAAAUACCAGGUAGUUCAUAGGCUGCAGUGAGACAAAGAGAGAAGAUGAUCUCAAUUGAUUUCCUUGUCCUACUGCUCUGUGCAAGUUUCAUUCAUGGAGAGCACCGAAUAGAUGGAGAAACACGUAACAAAACUCCUGUAGCAUCAGAAGUCCUAGUUCACUUAUGACGAGGUUUUAGAAAUCACCGAAAUCUUUAAAACGGAAAUCGGGAAAGGAGGAUUUGGGAUUGUAUACCAUGGCUAGUUGAAAUAUGGCACUCAAGUUGUGGUUCUACAUCGUCAUCUCAAGGAGCUAGCUCAGCUAGGGAGUUCCAAACAGAGGUUGAGCUCCCGAUGAGAAUCCAUCAUAGAAACUUGGCCUCGUUUAUUGGAUACUGUGUGAUACUGACAAGUUGGCACUUAUAUACAAGUACAUGCCUAAUGAAAACCUAAAAGAAUAUCUCUGAUCAGAAGCAGAUAGGAGCUCACAUAAACUUGGGAAAUGAGACUUUGGAUGGCAUUAGAUAUUGCGUUAGAUAGGUGCUUAGUGUUAUUUUUUGUGCUACUAUAUAUUCACAAUCCAGUAUUGUGCAUAGAGAUGUAAAGACUGCCAACAUUCUCCUGAAUUAAAACUUGGAUGCAAAAUAGCAGAUUUUGGUCUGUCCAUGGUUUUUCCCAGUGACAAUGAGACUCUGGUGGCAUCGUUCAUGGGCACAGCAAGAUACUAUAAUUAGCAAGGUUGAAGGAAAAAAAAAUUGAUGUUUAGGGUUUUACUGGCCAACCUGCAAUCAUAGAAAAUGAUGAUCUUGUCCACAUAGUGGAGCGGAUACUAUAAUUAGCAAGGUUGAAGGAAAAAAAAAAUUGAUGUUUAGGGUUUUACUAGCCAACCUGCAAUCAUAGAAAAUGAUGAUCUUGUCCACAUAGUGGAGUAGGUGAAUCUUGAGUUCCAGAACGGGAAUUGAACAACUAUUUUGGAUCAAGGGCUUCGAGGAGAGUUCAAUGUGAAUUCGGUCUGGAAAGCAUCAGAGGCAGCUUUGCAUACCUCCCAAC